rnacentral:misc_RNA from 1 species
GAAAUAUGCAUUUGGGCCACUGCCACCCUGUUGCCAAUGACUCAGGUGGUGGAACAAUCAUCAGUACAUUUUCAUUUCGCUCAACAAUUCCCAUCACACUUACAGUGCUGCCUUCUUUGAUGUACCCUUCUUUCAAUUGCAUUAUACGAUCAUCACCUGAAAGAUUUUUACUCCCCAACCACCUGGUAAACUCUGGAGACAACUCUUGCUUCUCUGGGUUUAUUUUAAUAAUAUAGGAAUCAUCAACAAAUGGAGUUACC